rnacentral:rRNA from 1 species
AGUGGACGCUGGCGGUAGGCCUAACACAUGCAAGUCGAACGGCAGCACAGUAAGAGCUUGCUCUUACGGGUGGCGAGUGGCGGACGGGUGAGGAAUACAUCGGAAUCUACUUUUUCGUGGGGGAUAACGUAGGGAAACUUACGCUAAUACCGCAUACGACCUACGGGUGAAAGCAGGGGAUCUUCGGACCUUGCGCGAUUGAAUGAGCCGAUGUCGGAUUAGCUAGUUGGCGGGGUAAAGGCCCACCAAGGCGACGAUCCGUAGCUGGUCUGAGAGGAUGAUCAGCCACACUGGAACUGAGACACGGUCCAGACUCCUAUGGGAGGCAGCAGUGGGGAAUAUUGGACAAUGGGCGCAAGCCUGAUCCAGCCAUACCGCGUGGGUGAAGAAGGCCUUCGGGUUGUAAAGCCCUUUUGUUGGGAAAGAAAAGCAGCAGGUUAAUACCCCGCUGUUCUGACGGUACCCAAAGAAUAAGCACCGGCUAACUGCGU